rnacentral:rRNA from 1 species
CCUACGGGAGGCAGCAGUGGGGAAUAUUGCACAAUGGGGGAAACUCUGAUGCAGCGACGCCGCGUGAGUGAAGACGUAUCUCGGUACGUUAAGCUCCAUUUGUAGGGAAGUAAAUGACGGUACCUGACUAAGAAGCCACGGCUAACUAGGUGCAAGCAGCCGCGGUAAUACGUAGGGGGCAAGCGUUAUCCGGAUUUACUGGGUGUAAAGGGAGCGUAGACGGCAGCGCAAGUCUGGAGUGAAAUCCCAUGGCUUAACCAUGGAACUGCGUUGGAAACUGUGCGGUUUGAGUACAGGUGAGGUAAGCGGAAUUCCUGGUGUAGCGGUGAAAUGCUUAGAUAUUAGGAAGAACACCAGUGGCGAAGGCAGCUUACUAAACUGUGACUGACGUUGAGGCUCGAAAGCGUGGGGAGCAAACAGGAUUAGAUACCCGUGUAGUC